rnacentral:rRNA from 1 species
UAGGGAAUCUUCCGCAAUGGACGCAAGUCUGACGGAGCAACGCCGCGUGAGUGAAGAAGGAUUUCGGUUCGUAAAACUCUGUUGUUAGAGAAGAACAGCGCAUAGAGUAACUGUUAUGCGUGUGACGGUAUCUAACCAGAAAGCCACGGCUAACUACGUGCCAGCAGCCGCGGUAAUACGUAGGUGGCAAGCGUUGUCCGGAUUCAUUGGGCGUAAAGCGCUCGUAGGCGGUCUGUUAGGUCGGCAAGUUAAAUCCGGGGGCUCAACCCCCGUCCGCUUCCGAUACCGGCAGACUUGAGGUUGGUAGGGGAAGGUGGAAUUCCUAGUGUAGCGGUGGAAUGCGCAGAUAUUAGGAAGAACACCGGUGGCGAAGGCGGCCUUCUGGGCCAUAACUGACGCUGAGGAGCGAAAGCUAGGGGAGCGAACAGG